rnacentral:rRNA from 1 species
AUGACCGGUAGGAGGAGUUUAGGGUGGACAUAUAACCAGGCAGCAAAGACCAAGACCGCGGAAGCACUAGAGAGUUCCCACCGUGAAGCCGCAGUCGCAACAGAGAUGUCCCGGCACGCCGCGGAGCCCUCGAAUGAGCUCUCACGGGAACGCGGGGGCUCUCACAAGUGCAUUCACGGCGUCGGCCAUCACGACGAGCUGGUGUUCCUGAAGUCCUUCACUGGCGAUGACGACAUUCUCGCUGGCAUCACUACGCAGCAAGAGCUGGUCGACAGCUUGAUGAAGCUGCUCAAGAUCAGCGAUGCCUCGGUUGACAAGGCGACCGGCCUCGUCGAGCAACUCAUGGGUGACAAUGCGAAGCUCCUCAAGUUGGUCGCCGAGAAGGAGGAGGAGGCCGCCGGCUGGAAGAUGCUGCAUGAGCAGAGCAGUGCCUUGGAGAUGACGCUGAAAGCGAUCGUCGAGGAACUGAUGGGUGGCUUGAGGAAGCUCCGGAUCGAGCGCGAGCAGGAGGUGGAGGAAUCCGUGGCUGCUUUCAAGCAAAGUCAUGAGGAAUUGAAGAAGGAGCUGGAGGAUUUCGCCGCCUGGCGAUCCAUCAACGAGUAG